CAAAGGAAGCGCUUUUAAAGAGUAACAUAUUUGUUAUAUUUUGAGUGCACUUUAAAAGCGUAGCCUAAUGUAUCUAGGCCAAAUGCACCCAAACACUUAGUAAUUUUUCUUUUCCUUAUCACCAAAUCACACUCACCUUCGAAUACCCUCACUUUCGCCAUCUGAUCAGAAAAAGUUUCGCCCCUCACCUUCGCAAAUCACCUUCGAAUUAAUUGUUGAAAACCCUAACCCUAACACACCCACACACUCACACUCAUUCUCACCAUCACUCACCACUGCCACCACGCCCCCCUUUCACACACACACACACCCAGAUCCAAGAGAAAGAGUGAACCAGAGGGAGGAGAAGAGGGAGACGAAGAUGAGAGAGCGCGAUCGAGAGAAUAGAGAGUGAGAGGGGGUCACCGCCGCAACGUCGCUGCAGCUGCCACCAUUGGCGUCGUGGAGCAGGGAGCCUGGAGGGGAGAGAGAGACGAUUUGCAGACGAGAUGGAGAGAGAGGACGAAGAUGCGACGCAAGAGAGGAGGCUAUUCCGCCGUGCACUGUCGUCGCUCCUAGGGUCGAUUGAAGCCGCCGCCGCAGCUAGGGCUUGCCGUGCUCCUGCAACAAUAUAUUUUAGAAGUUGUAUUCGACUGGAAGAGAGGGAAGGGGAGCGUUUGAACUUUCAAUUUCAUUAAUUUUUGCUGAAUUUCUGUGCAUGUGGGUGAAUACUGGAUUGUGAAGGAUGGUUAGGAUUGUGAAUACAGAAGUUUUGACCUCUUCAUAUAUGGUAUCCCUUCUUUUUUUAAUUCCCACAAGAGCUUAGGAUUGGUUAAACAGAGCAAAUUGAAACUUUGAAUGUUCCCCUCAUGCAGGGAACAAUGCUGAUCGAUUCCUGAAUUGGAGCAGUAGGUUCCAAAUUGUUCUAGGCGUGGCAAGGGGAUUGCAGUACCUUCAUGAGGAUUCACAUCUAAAAAUUAUUCACCGAGACAUCAAAGCAAGCAACAUUCUUCUUGAUCAUAAGUUUCAUCCCAAGAUUGGAGACUUUGGCCUUGCCAGGUUCUUCCCUGAAGACCAAGCUUAUCUUAGCACACAAUUCGCUGGAACAUUGUUUAGUUAUUAAGUAAUUGAGCUGAGCUGUAAGUUUGACAAAUGAAAU